rnacentral:rRNA from 1 species
GACGAACGCUGGCGGCGUGCUUAACACAUGCAAGUCGAACGGAAAGGCCCUGCUUUUGUGGGGUGCUCGAGUGGCGAACGGGUGAGUAACACGUGAGUAACCUGCCCUUGACUUUGGGAUAACUUCAGGAAACUGGGGCUAAUACCGGAUAGGAGCUCCUGCUGCAUGGUGGGGGUUGGAAAGUUUCGGCGGUUGGGGAUGGACUCGCGGCUUAUCAGCUUGUUGGGGGGGUAGUGGCUUACCAAGGCUUUGACGGGUAGCCGGCCUGAGAGGGUGACCGGCGACAUGGGGACUGAGAUACGGCGCAGACUGCUACGGGAGGCAGCAGUGGGGAAUAUUGCACAAUGGGCGGAAGCCUGAUGCAGCAACGUCGGGUGCGGGAUGACGGCCUUCGGGUUGUAAACCGCUUUCGCCUGUGACGAAGCGUGAGUGACGGUAAUGGGUAAAGAAGCACCGGCUAACUACGUG